GUGGGGAAUUUUGGACAAUGGGCGCAAGCCUGAUCCAGCCAUGCCGCGUGCGGGAAGAAGGCCUUCGGGUUGUAAACCGCUUUUGUCAGGGAAGAAAUCUUCUGGGCUAAUACCUCGGGAGGAUGACGGUACCUGAAGAAUAAGCACCGGCUAACUACGUGCCAGCAGCCGCGGUAAUACGUAGGGUGCAAGCGUUAAUCGGAAUUACUGGGCGUAAAGCGUGCGCAGGCGGUUGUGCAAGACAGGUGUGAAAUCCCCGGGCUUAACCUGGGAACUGCACUUGUGACUGCACGGCUGGAGUGCGGCAGAGGGGGAUGGAAUUCCGCGUGUAGCAGUGAAAUGCGUAGAUAUGCGGAGGAACACCGAUGGCGAAGGCAAUCCCCUGGGCCUGCACUGACGCUCAUGCACGAAAGCGUGGGGAGCAAACAGGAUUAGAUACCCGGGUAGUCC
rnacentral:rRNA from 1 species